rnacentral:rRNA from 1 species
UACGUAGGGACCAAGCGUUGUCCGGAUUUACUGGGCGUAAAGGGCGCGUAGGCGGCGUGUUAAGUCACUUGUGAAAUCUCUAAGCUUAACUUAGAACGGUCAAGUGAUACUGAUGUGCUAGAGUGCAGAAGGGGCAACCGGAAUUCUUGGUGUAGCGGUGAAAUGCGUAGAUAUCAAGAGGAACACCUGAGGUGAAGACGGGUUGCUGGGCUGACACUGACGCUGAGGCGCGAAAGCUAGGGUAGCAAACGGG